UUUCCAUAUAAUAAUGGCACAUCUAAUUGGGUACUAGAAAAUAUUCCCGAAUACACUUUACGGUCUCCCCCGUUCAAAAUUGCCAAUUCUUCUUGUCCAGCGCGUCCAAUAAAAUUACACAGAAUCGUGACAUUCGGAUUACGUCAUUCCAGUUUGAACAUGGAACAAACGGAACAAACAACGCAGGGUUUGGUUCCAGCUCCUCACCGCCCUCUAUGGACCACUGUAAUGUGGUUACAGAAGGAGGAGGGACGGAUGGAUGGCUGUUCAAUUGGAUUUGCUCCUUCCUGCCUGUAAUGGAUUUCACCAGUGAGAAUGGAAAAGACACCCCAGCGCAGCUUCUGCCAUCUGGUCACCCAGGAAGGGGCUGUCACUGCAAGAUAUCCCAAAAACCAGGAGGACGAGCCAGACAUCAAUUCAGAUGCGUCUGUGAUACGGAGAAAUGAGAAGAAACCAGGAAGCGACCGAGUAAAACCACGAAGGCAUGCGAACUGGACUGUCAUUAAAAGCUCGCUCAUCGUUACGACUCGCGGAUCAUUUCCGCCCUCGUUCUGAGCCGGACCUUAAAUGAACCAAGGCUUUGAUCAGCCUCCAUGGAAACCCCCAUAAAUCCCUGCACCCAACCACAGAGCGACCUGGACACACUGCCGUUUUACCCGUGAGUGCAUUUCCAUUUCCCCGCGAAAUGGUCAUUAAUAACCGCUCUGGGUCGUUCCCAAAAAAAAAAAAAAAAAAAACCAGCGGCGUCGGCCAUUUUCAUCCUGGGCACGGCGAGGGGCGGGAAGACUUACCGACGGUCCGAUCUCCCCCGGCACGCCCGGAUCUCCCUGGGGAAAAAAAAGAAGAAAAAAGAAAGGAAACAUAAGGAGCAGAAACGGGGUGUGACAUCAUCAAAAAAUGGUCCCGCAUAUGCCCAACUUCAGCACCAAAGGCUCCUGGGCCAUAGUCUUGCAUAACUCAGUCAGGACGUCCAGACCUCACAAAACCCAUUUUAUUCGCUGUCUGCUACUGUACACCAGGCUGGCCAGUGGGGGAAGGGCUCCCCCCUCUACAGCCGGGUUCCUCUCGAGAUUUCUUCCCAUUCUCGCUUCCGUUUGAGGGUUUUCUCCCCACUGGGAGUUUUUUUAAAUCUCUUGCUAUCUGGAGGUUCAGGCCUGGGGUAUAAGGCUCAAAGCCUCCCACCGCCCACCCCAAAAAAUAAGAAAUAUGAAGCAAUACUGCCACUGACCCCUGCCCCUCCUGGGUUGCCAAUAUGUCAUCUAACCCCAUAAUGCCAUAAUGCAGAAAGUUGGCCAAGAGUAGCAUCCACAUUUUUUAAUGUUCCAAUAUGUUAUUUUAAAGUUUUCUCUUGUUAAAAAAAAUAUAAUAAAAUAGUUUUUUUUCCUGUGAAACUCCCAGAAAAACCACUUUUCCUCCAUGAGCCAUUAGUGUUUAAUGGCCCUGGAAGAUGAUUAGUGUCUUUCAGCCCUCUUUAAAAGGCUUAUUUGGAUCUGCCUCGUUCCAGCUUUAAUUAAAGCACCAUUACAUUUUUCAAAAACGGGCAUGACAGGCUAAUUUAUUCAUUUCAGGAGGUCUGCGUAACAAGUCAAACCAGGACGCAAGACGGGUCGCUUUCUGUCACAGAACAUUGCCACUCAUUAUUAAAUAUAUCAGUGUCUGGAACUUAAUGUCUUGUGAUUCAUAAAGGCACUCGCUCGAGUACCAAGAGAAAGUUUGCGAUAAUAAAGCGAAAACUAAAAAAAAAAAAAAAAAA